CAUGCAAGUCGAGGGGCAGCAUGAACUUAGCUUGCUAAGUUUGAUGGCGACCGGCGCACGGGUGAGUAACACGUAUCCAACCUUCCGUUUACUCAGGGAUAGCCUUUCGAAAGAAAGAUUAAUACCUGAUAGUAUGGUGAGAUUGCAUGAUAGCACCAUUAAAGAUUUAUUGGUAAACGAUGGGGAUGCGUUCCAUUAGGUAGUAGGCGGGGUAACGGCCCACCUAGCCGACGAUGGAUAGGGGUUCUGAGAGGAAGGUCCCCCACAUUGGAACUGAGACACGGUCCAAACUCCUACGGGAGGCAGCAGUGAGGAAUAUUGGUCAAUGGGCGAGAGCCUGAACCAGCCAAGUAGCGUGAAGGAUGAAGGUCCUACGGAUUGUAAACUUCUUUUAUACGGGAAUAAAGUAUCCUACGUGUAGGAUUUUGUAUGUACCGUAUGAAUAAGCAUCGGCUAACUCCGUGCCAGCAGCCGCGGUAAUACGGAGGAUGCGAGCGUUAUCCGGAUUUAUUGGGUUUAAAGGGAGCGCAGACGGGAGAUUAAGUCAGUCGUGAAAGUUUGCGGCUCAACCGUAAAAUUGCAGUUGAUACUGGUUUCCUUGAGUGCAGUUGAGGCAGGCGGAAUUCGUGGUGUAGCGGUGAAAUGCUUAGAUAUCACGAAGAACCCCGAUUGCGAAGGCAGCUUGCUAAACUGUAACUGACGUUCAUGCUCGAAAGUGUGGGUAUCAAACAGGAUUAGAUACCCUGGUAGUCCACACGGUAAACGAUGGAUACUCGCUGUUGGCGAUAUACUGUCAGCGG
rnacentral:rRNA from 1 species